rnacentral:misc_RNA from 1 species
AAAAUAUUUUCAUCCACCCAGCGAUUGCGUAUCAAACGGCCCACAUACGUCUGUAUGUAUUAACUCUAACACGUUAUUUGAUCUAUUUUCUGUUGCUUUUGGAUGUGGCUGUGCUUGUAUUUUGCUUAUCAUGCAUGUUCUACAUGCCGGCUUCUGAGAAAAAUUCACUUCAUCCAUCCCAUGUACCAACAAUUUAUUUCGAAGUUCUGCCAAACUCGCAUAAUUCAGGUGCCCAUACCUAUUAUGCCAAAGCACUGCAUCACUCCGAAUAACACCGAAACAGCUGUUGCGUUUAUUUUCGAAGGCUGUAUUUUAAUUCGCGUAAUGAAAGAAACCAAUACAACAAAUAAAAAACUACGUCAGUUUCGGAAAAAGACAGGAAGUGCUGAUAAUCAACCUUUAUCGAUAAGCAUCUACAAGAAUAUUGCAAAUACAAAUUCAAACUGUCAUAGAAAGCAACCUUUAAAAACUAAAAAUCAACUCAAGCAUUCAGCUCAAAAAACUCGGGAGAUUUUCAACAAUCACAAAAGUUGUCAGUCUUUAAAUAAAAGUCAAACAAACGCCUCGUUCGUACCAGCGAGAAGGGCCUCAAAUGAGAUAGUGGAGCUUGAUAAUAGAGCUAGUGAUAAUUCUACUCUCAUUCAACUAGAAUUUAAACACAAAGAAAAAUCAAUUGAAAUCGUUUCAGAUAAGAAACUAAUAGUCUUUGAAGGUGUAUCUGAAGACAAAGACUUGCGAAAUUACAAUGCAAUGCCCAGAACUAAGCACAGGCCUAAGAGUAUAAAUUUCUGUGCACAAAACUGUAUGUGCGGUAAUAGUGACGUUUGCAUGCGCACAUCCAAAAACUCUGCAGGCUUUGACGUCCGCAAUAAACAAAAUUCUUUUGACGUGUCAAGCUCAAAGAAAAUAUAUCGCCAUGAUCAUCACCAGACCUUUCUAAGCAACAAGACUCAACUUUUAAGAGAAACGCUUUCUACUAUGCAACUGCAACACCAUUUGAGCGUACAACAACAAGAACUAAUACAGCAACUACAAUUAGUACAACGACAAUAUCUGAUCCAUCAAGGCUUUGUCAAACCUUUGCAAUUGGACUUUCAAACGCAGCUUGAUAGAUCAUCGUCACCUUUAAGUAAUUUGUUCAGUCACGCGCACCAGCAAUUACACUUGCAACAUCAGGCUUCGAAUGCAUUGACCAAAUGUAAUGAAACGUAUUAUGAAACAAAUUAUUUAUUGCAACAGCAUCAGCAGCAACAACAAAUAUAUAUGCCGUACCAAGCAAAUUUGACAAAUCCACAUAAUGAAUAUCGGCUACGACAAAGCCAACAACAAAAUGACGACGAGGAUAUUGAUAACGAAAACAAGAACACUCACUUGAAUAUCAGUAAUAACAACAACAUUAAUCACAAUGCCGAACUCGAUGUUUGCGAAAACAAGCAAUUUAUUAAGAUUAUUAAUACAUCUUUACAGGAAGAACAGAAUAACAAGGAAGAGCAUACUUAUAGGUUGGAUGUAGAGUGCAAUUCUACAAUAAGUAACCCAACACUUGGGGAGAGCAAUAACAGUAGUUUGUGUGGUGACUUUAAGCCUUCAAUUAUGCAAUGCAUGGAAGGAGACGAGCCGUUAUUGCAGGAGCCAACUACACAUUGUUCCUCUUCUACACAUAUUUGCGGUGCUACUACUAGUUGUAAUAGCUUUAAGCAAUAUCAGCGCAAAGCUAGAACCGACGAUGAUGGAAACAACAACAGUAACAGCAAAAACUUCCAUAAUCAUAGAUGCAUUGCAUGGCAGCAUCAACGUGACAAAGAGCACCACGAAAACACAAUGAAUAUUAUAUCAAAAAACUAUGACGACAAUGAUAGUUCUCAGCACACCAGCAACGCUUUUCCAGAGGAUGUGUCAAUGCUACCCGCAACUGAAGAUGUCCCGUGUUUCGUGUCCCGCAUACAUAAUCGCAAUAAUGACAAAAUAUGCAGCACAACACAAGCUCAACAAAAUACACUAACUUUACAUUCACAGCAAAUGCAGCGCAGUACCGAAUGUAUGCGGCCUUCGUCGGCGCCUUCGUCCAUUGAUGAACACCACAAUGGCAAUGAAAGCCAGAAUUCGACUGCUAAUGAAUUGGAUGAAUUCACAACUUGGGUGAAUCCUGUGGACCAAGGCAACAAUAUAACUGAUGAUAUACAUGCAUAUAUGCAUUACCAAAAGCGCGUCGCGUAUGCAAGAAGUGGAAGUCCCAGUCGAAGUAGAUGUAGCAGUAAUAGCAAUCAAAAUAGCAGCACUGACAAUUGCAGUGAAAUUCGUGAUAAUAUCAAACAUUAUACUUGUCCCAAUGAUAGUGCUGGCACGCAUGUGGGCGACGUCGUAGCUACGCCAUCUUCGCCGACUGUCAAUGUACAACACCAUAGGUUGCAGUCAGGGCAAAAGUUGGAAACAAGACAGGCAUCUACCAUACAUAAUAUGGCUGAUUCAAAAGUACACCGUGGCAUAUCGCCGUUAUUACGGCUGGAUCAGCAAACGCAGGAACAGUUGCAGCAACAAGAACAUGCAACACAAAAGGUAGCAGCACGUGACCCUUUGUUAACAUUGCCGCCGCCACCACUAGCAUUGUCGCCAGUAACGACUCUGUCGCCUACAGUAGCUGCUUCAAAGGUCAUACCAUCGACUAUGCAUGCAGCAGCAGCAGUAGCAGCGGCUGCAUCGCAUACGCAAGCACCACAUCAUAAUGCAGCAGCAGCUGUAGCAGUGGCAGCUGCCGCAGCAGCUGCUGCAGCAGCCGCAAACAGUCGCUGCAUACGUGGUGCACAGAUGACGCCAAAUUUUGGUGGCCUGUUGGAUGCAGUAAGUGGUUGCAAUGGCGGCAGCAACGAAACUCAUUGCAUCAAUUACGAUGACACAAACGCCACAGAGGCAAGCCAGGACACAAACGUCAAUAGCAACAAGCACACCAAUAGCCCAAAAAAGUACUACCAUCCGCUAUAUGCACACGGAAUAUGCCGUUGGCCGGGCUGUGAGCUAGCGCUUAAUGACUUCGUCUCCUUCGUAAAACAUUUAAACUCCGAACAUAACUUGGACGAUCGGUCCACAGCACAAGCACGAGUUCAAAUGCAAGUCGUAUCACAGCUGGAAGUUCACUUGCAGAAGGAGCGCGAUCGAUUACAGGCUAUGAUGCAUCAUCUUUAUUUAACAAAACAAUUUUUAAAUACUGAAAAUAUCGAGUCGAAGGAACCAUUGGAAUCACCUUACAGCAAUAUCUCAGCCAGCCUGAGCCCAACAACUAUGGGGUCGGUAAUGCCAAUGGCGGUACCGCAAGUAACUAACUUACAAGGUGUAACUAAUUUGAACAUGUCGAUGAAUGUGAAUAGCACUCGUAGCAUACCGAUUAGCUCACCUAUUCUGACCACGGCUAACAUAUCUGCGAUUAGAAAGCGAAUCAACGAUAAAACCCCCAUUUCCCUAACGGGCGGUUUGCCUUAUAUGUUGGAAAGAGCCGGUUUGGAUGUCCAACAAGAAAUACACCGAAAUCGAGAGUUUUAUAAAAAUGCUGAUGUACGACCUCCUUUCACAUAUGCUUCACUUAUACGGCAGUCUAUUAUAGAGUCACCUGACAAGCAGUUAACUUUAAACGAAAUUUAUAAUUGGUUUCAAAACACAUUCUGCUAUUUUCGGCGCAAUGCUGCAACUUGGAAAAAUGCCAUACGCACAAAUCUGUCGCUGCAUAAAUGCUUUGUGCGCUAUGAAGAUGACUUUGGCUCCUUUUGGAUGGUAGACGACAAUGAGUUCGUGAAACGACGCCAUUUAUCGCGCGGCCGUCCACGCAAAUAUGAACCGUCGUCAUCGCCUAAGACCAAUUCGCAAACGUCCGUUAAUGCUACUGCCGACAAUGGCAACAACACUAGCCGAGAAGCAAGUGGCAACAGUGAUUCACAACAAUUAUUGAAUAGGCAACAAAAGCAGAAACAGCGCAAUAUGCACAGUUUCGGUGGUAGUCAGGUGGCUGGCCACUGCAUCAAUGUAGAUUGUGAUAGUGUCGGUCGUAGAGUUCAAGGUUACCAUGCUGCAACGGAUGCUGCUACUCCAGUAAUGGCAGCUGCAAUUGAUGCCAAACAAGGCGACGAUAAUUACUCUAAUAACAACAGUAGCAACGUUAUUAAAAUUAAGAGUAGAAAUAAUAAUAAUAGCAGCAACAAAAACAAAAACCACAGUAUUAUGGAUAUUAAUAAUGGCGAUCAUGACGGCAUUGAUAUCUGCGAAGGUAGCCAAAGACAUAUAAGCGAUUUUUGUAGCAAUAAAAAAAUAGCGAAAUUUGAUACUCAAAAAAAUUAUGAGAUGCCUAAUGAUAGUAAUCUACUUUGCAUCAACAAUACUUUAAUUGGUAUUAACACAUUUAAAAAUUUAAGUAUGCUUGCAACGACUGGCAACAAAGUCGCUAGUGCUAGUGGUAUCAACAUCGUCAGUGAUGGCGUCGCCGCUGUCGAUAUUGAUACCAUAAUUGCGGUGAACAACAGUGGCGAUGGCAUAAUUGGAAGCAAUCGUAUCGGUGCCAGUAUCUAUGGUGAUGUCGGUGUCGUUACUGUUGAUGCUGUAAAUAAUUUAAAUGAUGUUGCCGUAGGUGUUGGUGAUAACGGUACCGACGGAAUUUUCUCUUGCAACUAUCAACCGCACAACAUGCUUUAAAAACUUAACAUUAAAUAAUAACACUUUAACGGCAUUUUGAAACCAAAAUGUCAAUUAAUAAAGAUAACUGACAUUGUUUCAAACAAAUAUGCAUACAGGAACGCAAUCCACGAUUCUCGGCCGACUUCACCACCUUAUGGCAAACACGAUUAUUUAACUAAUUUACAGAACAUGUGGACCUCCAUAUCUGAAGAUCCC